CGUACCCCAAACCGACACAGGUGGUCAGGUAGAGAAUACCAAGGCGCUUGAGAGAACUCGGGUGAAGGAACUAGGCAAAAUGGUGCCGUAACUUCGGGAGAAGGCACGCUGACAUGUAGGUGAAGUGAUUUACUCAUGGAGCUGAAGUCAGUCGAAGAUACCAGCUGGCUGCAACUGUUUAUUAAAAACACAGCACUGUGCAAACACGAAAGUGGACGUAUACGGUGUGACGCCUGCCCGGUGCCGGAAGGUUAAUUGAUGGGGUCAGCGCAAGCGAAGCUCCUGAUCGAAGCCCCGGUAAACGGCGGCCGUAACUAUAACGGUCCUAAGGUAGCGAAAUUCCUUGUCGGGUAAGUUCCGACCUGCACGAAUGGCGUAAUGAUGGCCAGGCUGUCUCCACCCGAGACUCAGUGAAAUUGAACUCGCUGUGAAGAUGCAGUGUACCCGCGGCAAGACGGAAAGACCCCGUGAACCUUUACUAUAGCUUGACACUGAACAUUGAGCCUUGAUGUGUAGGAUAGGUGGGAGGCUUUGAAGUGUGGACGCCAGUCUGCAUGGAGCCGACCUUGAAAUACCACCCUUUAAUGUUUGAUGUUCUAACGUGGACCCGUAAUCCGGGUUGCGGACAGUGUCUGGUGGGUAGUUUGACUGGGGCGGUCUCCUCCUAAAGAGUAACGGAGGAGCACGAAGGUUGGCUAAUCCUGGUCGGACAUCAGGAGGUUAGUGCAAUGGCAUAAGCCAGCUUGACUGCGAGCGUGACGGCGCGAGCAGGUGCGAAAGCAGGUCAUAGUGAUCCGGUGGUUCUGAAUGGAAGGGCCAUCGCUCAACGGAUAAAAGGUACUCCGGGGAUAACAGGCUGAUACCGCCCAAGAGUUCAUAUCGACGGCGGUGUUUGGCACCUCGAUGUCGGCUCAUCACAUCCUGGGGCUGAAGUAGGUCCCAAGGGUAUGGCUGUUCGCCAUUUAAAGUGGUACGCGAGCUGGGUUUAGAACGUCGUGAGACAGUUCGGUCCCUAUCUGCCGUGGGCGCUGGAGAACUGAGGGGGGCUGCUCCUAGUACGAGAGGACCGGAGUGGACGCAUCACUGGUGUUCGGGUUGUCAUGCCAAUGGCACUGCCCGGUAGCUAAAUGCGGAAGAGAUAAGUGCUGAAAGCAUCUAAGCACGAAACUUGCCCCGAGAUGAGUUCUCCCUGAGACUUUAGGUCUCCUGAAGGAACGUUGAAGACGACGACGUUGAUAGGCCGGGUGUGUAAGCGCAGCGAUGCGUUGAGCUAACCGGUACUAAUGAACCGUGAGGCUUAACCUUACAACGCCGAAG
rnacentral:rRNA from 1 species